UUGAACUCUAGAGAAGUAUUCAGAUCCAUUCUCUUUUAAUUGAUGAACAGAGUAAUUGAUAGAAAUGUCGAAUUAUCCUCUCUUUCAUGGCAUCUGCAAAUCUCUCCUCUCUUUGUAUGUCCGAAAUUCAUCAAUCUUUCUAAUCUUCUAGCCUUUUUUUAGACUGAUUCAUCUUCUUAUUUCCUCGAAACCUGUUGCAUAUGAAAUCGCUCUUCCAAUUUUUAAUUUCUGGUUCUGCUUUACUCCAUUCUUCUAUUUUAAUUGGAAGGUCUGGUGUCACAAGCUAAACAAGAAUCUCUAACAAAGUAAAUGCGGACGAAAAUAAAAAAGAAGGUGAAAUAUCACGAAUUCUCAUAUAUACUCCAUACGAGCAGUCUAGCAAGAUGUAUGGUUCAAGAUAUUUUUUUAAGUUCAAGACUGCUAGGUUUAUAAUUCAAAAUUUUCUGUUGUAUGAUCAAUCGAUAAAAUAUUUGUUCUCUUUUAUAGUAUAUGUAUUGACAUUUACAUGUCGAUUCAUGCCCCCCAUUGAACAGUUGCCAGAAAAAUUAGAUUUGUUAGGAUAUUUCACAUGUUUUGUUAAGUAUAAAUUUAUUAUUUUCUUUUUUUUUUU